rnacentral:rRNA from 1 species
AUACGGAGGGUGCAAUCGUUAUCCGGAUUCAUUGGGUUUAAAGGGUGCGCAGGCGGAAUGAGAAGUCAGUGGUGAAAUCCUACAGCUUAACUGUAGAACUGCCAUUGAUACUGUCAUUCUUGAGUACACUUGAAGUGGGCGGAAUGUAUCAUGUAGCGGUGAAAUGCAUAGAUAUGAUACAGAACUCCGAUAGCGAAGGCAGCUCACUAAAUUGUAACUGACGCUCAGGCACGAAAGCGUGGGGAGCAAACAGGAUUAGAAACCCUAGUAGUCC